UUCCAAUAGAGCCUCUCCAAUUUCAAUUUUCAUUCCAUAGGUCUUCUUCCCUUUAAUAUCAUACCCAUUUCUACACCCCGUAACAAUCCAUGAACAAUUAUGUCUCCAUCGAUCUUAUUCCCAAUUUUCUCGUAUAAUCGGCUAUGGAGGAGAGAGGCAUAACUUUCACUAUUUCCAAUUCUCCGAUUUCAAAUUUCCAACUGUCUUUGUUGUCCAGAAUCUAAAUUUUGUCCAUCCAACUGUUCAUCUGAUGAAUUUGGUGUUGUCGAGAAUCAUCCGAUCGAAGUAUCAUUUGUCUGAUUUGGUGAUGUUGAAGUACCUAGUUUGUUUUGAUUUUGGAUUUAGAUAGUUGUUCUGAUUUAUACACUAGUACCCUUUUCUUUUGUUUCAGGAGCCAAAAAAUAUUGGUCACUUUGCUUCCUUUUUUUCAUUUUUGGUAAGAUAGUUUGGACUGGAUACAACAUCAGUGCAUGAUUUACAAGAAUCUGCUACGUCAACAAAAGAUUAUUGGAAGUAUUGGGGUGGACAGAACACAGAAUGGAUAGUACAUGAAUAAGGGUUUAGAAUGUCAUAUUUUUCAUUGUACUGUUAUACAAAACUUUGGUACUACAAACAUCUUUC